GCCGGGCGCGGUGGCUCACGCCUGUAAUCCCAGCAUUUUGGGAGGCCGAGGUGGGCGGAUCACCUGAGGUCAGGAGUUCAAGACCAGCCUGGCCAACAUGGUGAAACCCCGUCUCUA
rnacentral:SRP_RNA from 2 species